CAGCAGCCACGGGAAAACGUAGGGUGCAAGCGUUAAUCGGAAUUACUGGGCGUAAAGCGUGCGCAGGCGGUUCGGAAAGAAAGAUGUGAAAUCCCAGGGCUUAACCUUGGAACUGCAUUUUUAACUCUUGGACUAGAGUAUGUCAGAGGGGGGUGGAAUUCCACGUGUAGCAGUGAAAUGCGUAGAUAUGUGGAGGAACACCGAUGGCGAAGGCAGCCCCCUGGGAUAAUACUGACGCUCAUGCACGAAAGCGUGGGGAGCAAACAGGAUUAGAUACCCGAGUAGUCCCUGUCUCUUAUAC
rnacentral:rRNA from 1 species